rnacentral:rRNA from 1 species
GGUGAACGCUGGCGGCGUGCUUAAGACAUGCAAGUCGAACGGCAGUCUUCGGACUGUAGUGGCGCACGGGUGAGUAACGCGUAACUGACCUACCCCAAAGUCGCGGAUAACGAUUCGAAAGAAUCGCUAAUACGUGAUGUGCUGUCAGAUUGUGUUCUGCCAGUAAAGAUUGAUUGCUUUGGGAUGGGGUUGCGUUCCAUCAGCUAGUUGGUGGGGUAAAGGCCCACCAAGGCGACGACGGAUAGCCGGCCUGAGAGGGUGGCCGGCCACAGGGGCACUGAGACACGGGUCCCACUCCUACGGGAGGCAGCAGUUAGGAAUCUUCCACAAUGGGCGAAAGCCUGAUGGAGCGACGCCGCGUGAGGGAUGAAGGUCUUCGGAUCGUAAACCUCUGAAUCAGGGACGAAAGACCCUUCGGUGGGAUGACGGUACCUGAGUAAUAGCACCGGCUAACUCCGUGCCAGCCGCCGCAGUAAUAC